rnacentral:rRNA from 1 species
GAAUGCUGACAUAAGUAACGAUAAAGCGGGUGAAAAGCCCGCUCGCCGGAAGACCAAGGGUUCCUGUCCAACGUUAAUCGGGGCAGGGUGAGUCGACCCCUAAGGCGAGGCCGAAAGGCGUAGUCGAUGGGAAACAGGUUAAUAUUCCUGUACUUGGUGUUACUGCGAAGGGGGGACGGAGAAGGCUAUGUUGGCCGGGCGACGGUUGUCCCGGUUUAAGCGUGUAGGCUGGUUUUCCAGGCAAAUCCGGAAAAUCAAGGCUGAGGCGUGAUGACGAGGCACUACGGUGCUGAAGCGACAAAUGCCCUGCUUCCAGGAAAAGCCUCUAAGCAUCAGGUAACAUCAAAUCGUACCCCAAACCGACACAGGUGGUCAGGUAGAGAAUACCAAGGCGCUUGAGAGAACUCGGGUGAAGGAACUAGGCAAAAUGGUGCCGUAACUUCGGGAGAAGGCACGCUGAUAUGUAGGUGAAGCGACUUGCUCGUGGAGCUGAAAUCAGUCGAAGAUACCAGCUGGCUGCAACUGUUUAUUAAAAACACAGCACUGUGCAAACACGAAAGUGGACGUAUACGGUGUGACGCCUGCCCGGUGCCGGAAGGUUAAUUGAUGGGGUUAGCGGUAACGCGAAGCUCUUGAUCGAAGCCCCGGUAAACGGCGGCCGUAACUAUAACGGUCCUAAGGUAGCGAAAUUCCUUGUCGGGUAAGUUCCGACCUGCACGAAUGGCGUAAUGAUGGCCAGGCUGUCUCCACCCGAGACUCAGUGAAAUUGAACUCGCUGUGAAGAUGCAGUGUACCCGCGGCAAGACGGAAAGACCCCGUGAACCUUUACUAUAGCUUGACACUGAACAUUGAGCCUUGAUGUGUAGGAUAGGUGGGAGGCUUUGAAGUGUGGACGCCAGUCUGCAUGGAGCCGACCUUGAAAUACCACCCUUUAAUGUUUGAUGUUCUAACGUGGGCCCCUUACCGGGGUUGCGGACAGUGUCUGGUGGGUAGUUUGACUGGGGCGGUCUCCUCCUAAAGAGUAACGGAGGAGCACGAAGGUUGGCUAAUCCUGGUCGGACAUCAGGAGGUUAGUGCAAUGGCAUAAGCCAGCUUGACUGCGAGCGUGACGGCGCGAGCAGGUGCGAAAGCAGGUCAUAGUGAUCCGGUGGUUCUGAAUGGAAGGGCCAUCGCUCAACGGAUAAAAGGUACUCCGGGGAUAACAGGCUGAUACCGCCCAAGAGUUCAUAUCGACGGCGGUGUUUGGCACCUCGAUGUCGGCUCAUCACAUCCUGGGGCUGAAGUAGGUCCCAAGGGUAUGGCUGUUCGCCAUUUAAAGUGGUACGCGAGCUGGGUUUAGAACGUCGUGAGACAGUUCGGUCCCUAUCUGCCGUGGGCGCUGGAGAACUGAGGGGGGCUGCUCCUAGUACGAGAGGACCGGAGUGGACGCAUCACUGGUGUUCGGGUUGUCAUGCCAAUGGCACUGCCCGGUAGCUAAAUGCGGAAGAGAUAAGUGCUGAAAGCAUCUAAGCACGAAACUUGCCCCGAGAUGAGU